rnacentral:rRNA from 1 species
UGGGGAAUAUUGCACAAUGGGCGCAAGCCUGAUGCAGCCAUGCCGCGUGUAUGAAGAAGGCCUUCGGGUUGUAAAGUACUUUCAGCGGGGAGGAAGGGAGUAAAGUUAAUACCUUUGCUCAUUGACGUUACCCGCAGAAGAAGCACCGGCUAACUCCGUGCCAGCAGCCGCGGUAAUACGGAGGGUGCAAGCGUUAAUCGGAAUUACUGGGCGUAAAGCGCACGCAGGCGGUUUGUUAAGUCAGAUGUGAAAUCCCCGGGCUCAACCUGGGAACUGCAUCUGAUACUGGCAAGCUUGAGUCUCGUAGAGGGAGGUAGAAUUCCAGGUGUAGCGGUGAAAUGCGUAGAGAUCUGGAGGAAUACCGGUGGCGAAGGCGGCCCCCUGGACGAAGACUGACGCUCAGGUGCGAAAGCGUGGGGAGCAAACA